CUUGUUUCCUUUGUGAAACAGGAAUUCCUAUUGCGACCUGACUCUCUUGUUGUGCUGCUGAAGUGCUGUCGAAAUUUCCGCUGCGCGCAACACAGUUUAGUUAUUUUAGUUUCAAAUAUUCGAAAACCAAUCCAAGCUGAAGUUUUUCUAAAACCGAACCGAAAUGCUGAAAUUCGGUCGGUUUGGUCAGUUUAUUCGGUUGGCACCAAUUAGUGCUCACCCCCAGUACUAUCACCUAUCGUCAUUAUGAUGUUUGUUUAAGCUUUAAAGUGGCUUCUGAGCUGCUCUUCUGACUUGCAAGCGAGGGCCGGCUGCAGGUGGCCAUGGUGGUUCUUUCUUGACGUUAUGUUUAUGAACACAAUGUUUUGGUUAGUGCACUAUCAUGAUAUGACGUUCCUUAGUUUUUGCUUUAUGUUUUGAGCAUACUUAUAAAACUUCGGUGUUAUUUUCCUUUAGAUGAUCUCCCCGGGAUCAAAUUUAUCGCUGUUAUCUUCGGGAUAGCCUUCCCCCAUCACCCACCCCCAACAAAAAAAAAAGAAAAGAAAAAGAAAAAGAGAGGGUUUUUAAUGUUGCGGUUUCUUGGUGUGAAAUUAGGGUUAUAACUCGAUCAAACCAGGAAAAAAAGAAGAAGAGAAAAUGGCGAUGAUGAUUUGCCUAAAAGCAUCAGUUGUUUGAUUGCUAAGGUUAUGAAAAUGGGAAGGCAAGCUUGGAUGGCGUGCUAGUGUGCAGGCAACCAGCUUGCAGUCUUCCAUUUGCUUUGUUAGAGAGAGAGGGAGAGAGGCAUUGUAUAUUCUUUGUUACUGAUGCUACUUUAAACCGGCAUAUCUGAGCCUCCAUAAGGAACUAGCCCUCACAUAGUGUAAGUACUGGCGAUUCAUGUAUUGGGAUUAAUGAAAUUGGUUUGCCUUCUGAAAUUGCUAAAAAAGUUACAUUUGAAGAGAGGGUCACAGCUCAUAAUCUUGAGCGUUUGCAGAAAAUAGUAAACGUCGUGUGACCUAUAAAGAUGGCAAAUCUUUAUCCCCAGUCCCUUGCUGCACUGACUAAAUUUGUGGGAUUAUUCUGUGUUGAUCAACAGCUACGUAGCUCUCACAGUGGGUAGUUGAACUUUCAAUUGGUUAGUGAUUUUCUAUUAUCACUAAAGCUCAUGGUCAAUUCAUUUUUUUCUGAGAAAAGAGAAAGCACAGCAGUUGGGGAUGUUUGUUUUUCCUGUCUUAUCACCUCCUGCUGUAUUUCAAGCUUGUGAUUCUGGCUCUUGCUGGACCAUAUAUCACUUUUUGCAGUGUGCUUUGCCAUUGUUGGCUAUAUUGGAAAAAGGCAUGUAAUUGUUGGGGAAUUUUAGUCUCUCUGCCUACUACGAUCUCCACAACUCGGAAGCUAACCCACAAUCAACAAGAUAUAAAACAACCAUAAUCAAGAAGAAAGAACACCGAAAUUUACAUGGUUCGGUCGACCAACUUCGACCUACGUCCACGGGCAACAAUACGAGAAAUCCACUAUGUAUCAGGGAGAAUUAAAAGAGGAACUACUCAACUCUCGUCUCUCAACCUCACAUACAUAAUCAACUCUCAUAUUCUCUCCAAAGCCCUCUCCUUACAAUCUUUUGAGCGGACAAAGACUGCAAAAUCCUCUCCCAAAGAUGUAACUUUUUGCACGAACAAAGACUACAAAACCCUUGUCUCUCGCAUAAUAUUCUUGAAUCGGGCUACGCCCUCUGCUAACCCUAGAUUACAAGAAUAUUGGUUCUCUCUCUUCUGCUUGAUUUUUCUUCCAACAAUAGAAGAAUAUCUAUAUAUGGAAACCAAAACCCUAUCUCUAGCCUAACUUCCUAAUUAGAAUAGGAUUCAAACUCCUAAUCAUGAUGAGACUUAAUCUCCUAAUCAUGAUAGAUCUCCAACCCUAUCUAAUUCUCAUGAAGUGAUACAAAGAAUUAAAGACACGAUCCUAACAGUAAUCAAUUAGAGUUAAAUUCUGAAAUUUGAGUUUAAUAGGGACUUUCUGCAGUCAUCACUACUGACAUCAUUACUUCCAUAUUUGUUGCAAAGGGUCCUAGGGCUGCUCUUAGCUUUUUCAAUUCACCGCUCCACUUUUCUUGGAGAUGUUGCAGUUAGAAGAAUCUAGUGUAAUCCGCAAGACUUUUACGUUCCAAAUCCCAUCCUGAGAGAGGUUAAAGAUUGCAUACAGGUGAUUUCAUCUUUAGUAUACAGGUGAUUUCAUCUUUAGUGCCACAAUUGCGCAUGUCGUAUGAUGAGCUUCUAGGACUGCAAGUUGAGAAAGAUACUAAUCAUCUCAAAAUACCCAUUGUUGCAUUCAUUUUAUAGUCAUCUUGUUUUGGUUAUGUGAUUGAAUUCAAAGAGUGAGUCCUCGAUUGGUAAGGUUCUUCAAUAGAUAGGUUUUUUCGGCCUUCAACUCUUUAAGGGAAAGUUAUAUUCGAAGGCCUUGGUUGGGGAUAUCCAUCUCCAAUUUGUAAGUAGAUUCUCAACAACAGAUGUUAGGCCGUCAUCUGAGGCACAUGGGCUAGCAAUGGGCCGGUCUCGGAUUGAGUAUUUGCUGGUAACAUUUUUAGAUCUAUGGUUGCUGAUAUGUUGGUAGUUUACAUGACAUUGCUCUUAUAUACCCUCUCUUAUUUUCUUGACAUUUAAAUACCCUAUUGUUUUUAAGGUAGCAUGUGCUACCUUCUAUUAAUCUUACCUUCAGUUAGUAAGAUUAACGGUUAUGAAAUGGCAAGGUGAGCUUGGAUGUCUAGUAGCAUGCAGGCAACAUCUUGCAGCCACUCAUUUCUUGUUUCUAGAGAGAUUAAAUAUAUUUAUUAUGCCCAAAUUUUGUGAUGUUUGAAGUAAUGUGGCAUAUCUGAACCUACUUGAACAUGCAAGCUAGGGCUGACAACAGCAGGGGUUUGAGUUGGGUUGGAAGUUCCCUUUCAGAUCCAUUGAAAAAUAGGAGGAAGAAGAAGAAGAAGAAGAAGUCAAAUUAUGAUUUUCCGGAUGUGUCAGUGUCGUAUGAUUGUGAUUGCUAAGGUUAUAAAAAUGGCGAGGCAAGCUUGGAUGGCCUGCUAAUAUUCUGUCAACCAGCUUGCAGCCACCCAUUCACUCUUUUGGAUUUUUGCUUAUACAACGAAAGUUUUACCCCUAUUUACUUAAAAACCCAUAUAGUUCUAUAUGUUCUCAUACACCCAAAAUGCACAAAGUUUCUAUACCUUUAAACCCAAAGUGCAGAAGACAUUGAAAAGUGUAUAGCUACAUACCAAUUACUCUCUAACUACUUGUGCUUUCUUGUGUCCUUGUUUAGUAGGUAACUUUCUUUUCACUUUCUUCUCUAUGAUUUCUCACAGUAAUCCAAAAAAAAAGAAAAACUUUUGUUAUAUUUCUUUUGAAGGGAUCAUCUGCAAUUUACGCUUUUUUGGGAUGUUUUUUUCCUUUCAAAUUAUGCUUAUAGCUCCAUGAGAUGGUACUGUCCUCCUCGGACAAAGAAAUGAAAAGAAAAAGAUAUUGGCGAUGAUGAUCUGCCCAAAUGCAUCAAUCAUACUGAUACACCAGCUGUUGGUAAACCGAACUGUAAGGUUGUGAAGUGGUGAGGUAAGAUUGGACGGCCUUGUCGCAUGCGGGCAACCAUCUUGCAGCCACUCAUUUCUGUUUUGGUUUCUUACCUAUAUCCCCCAAAUCAAACAUAUUUGCAAAUUUACUCUCAAAAUCAAGAUAUUUUCUAAUUUUCUCCCAAGUUUGACUACAUUUGAGUUAAAAUACCCACCUGAUUCUCUCCAUCUCUGUGAUGCUUGAAUUAAAGUGGCAUAUCUGAGCCUCCAGUAUGCACUCCUUGGCUGACAACUGGUUGGGUAUUUGUGAGUAUUCCUUGCGGAUCCAUGGAACUCUUGCACUCGCCCCCUAUGGUCUGUAUAUAUAUGCAUUUAUUUUUCUGGAAGACAUUGUUAUGAUGAUUAUGUUAUUUAUGAAUUACUUUCUUUCACAAGCAAAUCUUAGUGUAAAUAUUCUGAUUUUGUAAUUUUUAAUUUUUUAAAGAAAUUCUGGUAGGGGGUUAGCUGCAAUAUACCCUUGCUUUAUAUUUCAGCGGCUAAUUUAAUAAUAUGGAAGAUUUGGAAGACUAAUAUCUGAAAAAUUCUUAGUUAUUUUUGCACUUACAAUUUCAUUGAUUUUCCCAAAUGCAUUUAUCUUUUUGAUUGACAUAUGUUGGGAGAAAUGACGAGGUGAGGUUGAGGUGCCUGCUACUAAACAGGCAAAUAGCUCGCUGCCAUCACACAUUCUUUUAAGAUAAGGUGCAGUCUACCUGAUCCACCUCCUUUAAAUAUGCAUGCUAGGGUCAAAAGCAGGUAGGGUUUGGAUCAGUUGCUGCAAGAUACAGGGUGCAAAAAAAAAUCUGUGUUCAUGGAUUUAUUCAUAUCCGUAUAUGUUAGGGGUGCAAAAAGUACCCUCAUGCAUGGAUAUAUCUGUAUCCAUAUCCGUUAUGAUGCGAAUAUGAAUACUCAGAUAUGGAUACAACAUAUCUGAUGGGUACUUUUUCCGUCGAGGGACCAAAUUGCGAGACCCCUUAUGAUUUGAGGGGCUUAUGAGCAAUUUCAAAGGUUGAGGGGAUAACGUGGAACUAUUGAAGAUAUGAGGGACUAAUAUCUAAAUAUUUCUCUUCAUUGCUAUUCCUCGGUUUCUAUGAAGUUUUUUUGCACUGAAGUGCAUGCAGCUGCAACUUUGUAAAAAUAGAAGCAUAUAAGAAUUAAUUUGCAAAAGGAAUAUCUCAAGCGAAUGCACGUGUUGUACAGCCAAUUACAAUAUAUCUGAAGGGGGUACCUGCAAUUUAUCCGUUCUUUGUCUUGGGUUUAAUAACUCUAAAAUUGGGCUUGCAACUCCAUAAAAUCCAAGGAAAAGAAGGAACAAAUGCUAAAAUGAUGAUUUUCCCAGAAUGCAUUAAUUGUUUGAUUGCAAAUAGGUAAGGCAAGCAUGGACGACGUGCUAGUAUGAAUGCAAACAGCUUGCAGCCAUUUGCUUUGGGUUAAAAUUACUAAAUUGAUAUUUUUAGCAUUACACACUUUUCGAUUAGGUAUCUGUAGUUGUCUUACUCUUUAUUUGUUAGAGAAACAUGACACAUACAUUAUUCAUAGUCGUAAUGUCCUGAAAACUGGCAUGUCUGAAUCUCAUCAUAUAUCUCCACAUGCAAGCUAGGGUUGCAACCUAUGUUUGCAAGGUGCUUCUACUUGGAGCCGUACCCAUGUCUUACACAUACCCAACACCAAAACUUCAAUGGACACUACUUGGAUAUUUGCAUACACUUAUUCAAAUGUGUACUCAAUUGUAUAAUACAUGAAUUAAUUAAACAUAUGUCAUGUAUUUCUUGGAUGUAUACCCACUCCACAUGCAAUUUUUGAAACUAGCUGAACAUACUUCGUCGUUUCAGCCCAUCCCAAUUCAAAACUAUGAUUAUCAAGGGUCUUUUGGAUAUCAAGUAAAAAACAUGCGUAAAUUUCUGAUUUAUGAUAUUAUAACAGAAACACAUAAUGUUUUAGGAAAUUUGUCUCGUAGCACGUGGAAUGGAAAAAUAAAUAGAUCUCAUGCAGAUUAUUAUUUACAUACAUGUAUGUGUAGUUGUGUCCAUGUACCCUGCCUUUUACAAAUUUUCCGGGUGCAGGGCCCCCACCCAUACCUGCAUCCGUAACUAUAUGUGUAACUUAGCUUGUGACGGUACAAGUUUUUGAUGGGUAUUGCAGCUUCCACUUGCAGAUCCGUCCAUAGUUAUUUAGUAUAUAUAUUCUUGCAACAAUAUUUGUUGCAGAACUUGUAUGGUUUAUUGCUUGCUCUUCCAUACAACCCCCCACCCCCCCUCUUUAUAUUGAUUUUUUUUUGUUUUGACUAUUUAAAGCUUAUGUGAGUCGGAUUUUCUUAAAAAAAUUUAGUGUACUUUCUCUUCCUCUAUUUGGGAUUUUCCAAUUUUCAAUUUGGGUUUAUGAUUCCAUGAUUGUAAUUCUUGAACUGUGUAAUGUGUCAAUUUUUACCGCAAGCACCCAACAAUCUAACAAAGACAAUUCGCAAGUUCUACUUUCCACUUUUUGUUACUAUAGUGGUACAUAAAGGAUUAGUUCAUAGUCUUUCUCGUUCUCUCUUUGCACUCUUUUUGAAGAUGUCUUUUCUUUUUAGGAUUCAUGGAUUGUCAUUAUUAUAUGAUCAUGAUGAUGGUAAUGUUUUUUUCUUUUAUUAUGAGUUAGCUAAAUGGUCAAGAGGAAAGGAUUACAGGGAUGUUCUCAUAUUAGACCCUAAAUUUUAUCCCAUUUUUUAUUGCGCCUCCAAUCUUCUAUUUGUAAUUUACGCCCUCAUAUCUAUUAAAUUGUUUUAAACAACACGUCCACAUUUGUAUACCUCCAAAUCCAUUAAGUUGUUUUAGAUAACACAACCAUUUUGAACAAAUAUGAAUUUUUUUUCUUUUUCUUGGGUGGGGUGGGUAAUCUACAAAAUAUGAAGAUUUUGUUGCCUAGUAUAAAAGUAGGAUAGAAUUCAGGAUCUAGUAUGAGAAAAAUCCAACAUUAUAAAUUGAUAUUCAAUUUAUUCUUAGUUGUUAUUGUUAAUAUGAUUCCUGCAUGCUUCCGUCAUGUGUCUCAUCAUGAUUAAGGUGUGGUCAUAUAGUUUUAAGAUAUUUACGCUUGUCAUGAAUUUAUUGUUUUCACAUUCAAUAUGUAGAUGUGUCAUGUCUAUUAUUCGGACUUUUGAUAGUUUGAUGGAUAAUUUUGGACUCGUAACAAAUUUUUAUUUUUUUAUCUAACUACUCACAUAAAAUAUUUAUUGAAAAGAAAAUAGUAUUAAUAAAAGUAGCAGAUGACAUUUAAAGAAAAAGCAAUGAUAUGUUUUAGAGAAUAAUUUAUCAAUUGCGUGAACUUUGCUUUUGACUGUCUUUUUUUUAACAGUGGCAAGUCCUUCCUUCGGGAACAUAACCAACUGGUAUAAGUGAUUAUGCAGGCGCUCAAGCAACUUCCUCCUCAGUUUCUGUGAAGCAAUUUUCCCUGAAACUCUGCAUUGAGAAAAAGUAGAUUCUACUAUGACAUAAACUAUAACAAUGCGUUUCUCCAAAUUUUUUGGGGACUACUACGUGUACUUUUGUUCUUCUCAUUGGUGCAGUAAGUGGCCUAUGUUUUACAUAAUCAGACUAUUUCAAUCGUUCUCUCAUUUUAUCCUUAAUUCAAGCAAACCUCUGACUUGCAUUUUGUUUCUUAAUUGAUCCAUAAAUCAUUGUCGGCCUUAUAGUUGUCUUGUUGAAAAGGUUGAUAUUCUGCUACCUAUUUGCAAUGGAAAAAUCCAAAUCCUAUAGAAAUGGCGAGGAUGGCCUGCUAGUAUGCAGGCAACCAGUUUGCAGCCAUCUCGUUACUUUAUUAGAGAGAGAAAGGGAGAGGUUGUACCCAUCGUUAUUAUGAUGUUGUCCAGGAUUUCAUUUUCCACAAGGGCCUUAUAUAUGUCAUUGACCGUGGACUAUGUUACCCAGGUACUUCUAUCUUGCAGCUGUACCAGACACGUAGCUGCACCCAAACUUCAUGGACACUCUUUGGAUAUGUGCAUACAUUUAUUCAGACAUGUACUCAAUUAUAUGAUAUAUGUUUUAAUUUAAAACACUUGUCAAAUAUUUCUUGGAUGUAUGUCCUAAACUUCACAUCCAAUUCUUGAAUCUUGUUAGACAUGGGUUGGUUUUGUUUCAGCCUAUUCCCAAGUUCAAAGCUAUGAUCUUAAAGGGUCGUUUGGGUGUCUAUUUCAAAACAGAGUAGUUUCCAAUUCAUAAUAAUCAACAUAAUAAAAGAAACUUUAAAAAUGUGAUAAUAAUUUUAAUCCUAAUAACACAUGAAAACAAUUAUGUUCUCAUAUAAAUUAUUAAUUUUAAUAUAUAUAAUUAAUUAGGCGUGUCCCUAUAUCCUACAUUUACAAUUUUGCCAUGUUCUGUACUUUUACCCGCACUUGUACCGGUACCCAUAUUAGUUCCCAUGCAACUUUGACCAUGUAAGAAACCUGGGUAUAUUCAAUUUCAACGAUCCAGCAUCAUAAUCACUUGUUCUUAGUGUCCAGACAUAUGGAGAUAUUCCCUUUCCACGUCCUUAAAGGGUGCAUCAGAGACAUGGGCAUAUUUGUGUCGAUUGAUCAAUCCAUGUAUCUUUCAGCUCGUGAUUUCCCAUAAUCUCUUAAACCCAACUCCAUUUAUUUCACAGAAAGUCAUAAGAUGGCUCCCUGGCAAAGUGCUUGGGCUCCUCGGCAGAGUUUUCAUUUUGGACGAUGGAAGAAUCUACUUUUUGUGCAGACUAUGAAUAAUAAAGGCAUGGUCGAUGGGCCCCUUUGGUCGCCAAAUGUAUGGUUCAUGCCUGCAACUACUUUUAAAAUCCCACCUUAAUUUAGGCAUGCUGUGGAUUUUUCAAAUUUGAGGCAGGCCAUGUGCCGUACCUCAAACAUAUCUGUUGGCCUUGUGUUUGGACAUGGUAAUUUUUUCUCUAUGUUAUUUACAUGCAAAUAUUUAUUUUGUUAGCGCAUUAUUAUGAUAUGAUGUUUAUAGCUUUAGCUUUAUUUCUCAUCAAAGUUUAUCAGAGACUUUUGUGUAAUUUUAAAGUUUAUCAGAGACUUUUGUGUAAUUUUUCUUUUUUUUAUUUGGGUUCUUCUUUGCUAACAUAUUGUGCUAAUUUUGACUGCAUGACUCAUUCAAUUGCGUGAACUUAUACGAAAAUUGGAAAGAGAAAACAUUAAUCUUUAUUGUAGGUACUAUGCCAAAGAGAAUGAUUGAAUAAUUAAUGAAUCAGGACGACAAAACUAGAUGAAAAGAAGCACCAAAACACUAUAAUUCUGUUAAUUUUGUAUGUAAAAUUAGUUACUUUCAUUAGUAAUCAACACAUACAAGAAAAGGAAAUACAAAUAAUAACGUAAAAAUGGUAUUUAAUAUUUCUUUUAAGAAAAAACAAAUACAUGUUAAAGAUAGUUUAAGUAAAUUUUUUGAAAGCAUACAUUUUGUUUUAUCAUAUUUCUCUUGCUUAUUCCGCUCAUUUUUAAUGAAGUGUUUCUUCUUUGCAACUCAAUGCAACUACUUUGCAAUAAUGGAAUUACAUGCGGAAUAAUCUGCAAAAAAAUUCCUAAAGCAAGGCACAUGCUUAACAGCCAAUUACAAUGCAAGCGCUUAGUGGUACUGUUUCCCCCUCUCCCUCUCAUCGCCCUGUUCUCUUUUUACCUUUCAACAAGUUUAAUGCAGCAAUUCUUUCUCUUGUUAUUAAGGGGCUGUUUGUUUGCGCAAAUAAAGAGUGAAAUGGGGGGUUUGAAAUCUGACAAGAAGGCCUCAUAGGAUUUUGGUUUCAAGACAUUUCCAUUCCAUGCGUUUGGUUCGCUGCGUGAUUUAAAGAAAUGGUGUGUGUGUGUGUGUGUGAAAUGGGUUGCCACAUCAGAUUUUCAAGAAAACCUAUUUCAGACCAAAAGUGGCUGAAAUGGGUUGGAAACGUCACAUCUGGGCAUAUUUAAAUAUUUAAAGCACUAUUGAAACGACGGUUUGAAUUGAAGGGGAAUAUUUAAUGUCCUAUCGCUGAAUAUUUAAUUAGAAAACUUAUUUGAUUUCUUGAUUUCUGGAUGUUCAAACAAACCCAAGAAAUGGGAAACUUUGUUUUCCAGCCUAUGAUUUCAAUGUGAAACAAACCAAAAAAAAGAAAAAAAAAAGAAAUGGGGGAAACCCUCUGAAAUGUCCAGAAAUGUUUUCCAGCCUAGUUUUCUGUUUUCUUUUUUUUUUUGGGAAAUGUACCAAACAGCCCCUAAAGAGAAAUAUUCAGAGCUCCGACUCUUGGUGAUUCUCCCUUUCUCUUUCUUCAAGUUGGUCUGAAAAGGGUUACCUGCGAUUUAGCCUUUCUUAUUUUUGUGGUUCAUAACUGUGAAAGUGGGCUUGCAACUCCGUGAAAUCUAAGGAAAAAGAAAGAAAAGAACAAUGAUGAUUUUCCCAAAUGGCAUUAGUUGUUUGAUUGCUAAGGUAUUAAAAGUGACAAGGCAGGUUUGGACAACAUGCUAGUAUACAGGCAACUAGCUUGCAGGCAUCCAUUUACUUUGGGCUAAAUUACCAAAUUGGUAUUUUUAGUAGCACACACUUUUCAAUUUAGUAUGCUCCGGAAACAUUAAGGGUAUUAAUAUCGAAUUUCAACAGCGGCUAAAUUACCAAAUUGGUAUUUUUAGUAGGACAUGAUUUCCGGAAGCGUUGUGAGUUCUUGUUGGGUCUUACGAAUUCCACUUGCAGAUCCGUUCAUAAUUAUUUAGGAUCCAAUGCAUGCAACAAUAUUGGUUGCAGAACUUGCAUAAUUUUCUUGCCUGCUCUCUCAUGCACAUAAAACUCUUUUUAUAUUGACUUUUUUGUUUCUGACUAUUUAAAGGUUAUGGUAUUCAAUUUUUUUCUGAAGAAAAUUUAAGCAUACUUCCCCUUUCUCUAUUUGGCAUUUCCCUAUUUACAAUUGCAUUUAUGAUUUUGUGAUUUUCAAUUCUAGAAUUGUUUAAUGUAUAAAUUUUAAUUGCAAGCAGCCAACAAUCUGACUAAGACAAUUCACAAGUUAUGUUUUCCAUUUUUAUUACUAUAGCGGCAAUAAUGAUUUCCCUAAACAGACACUUUAUGAAUAUUAUUUCUUUUCAGGACUCAUGGAUUGUUAGGAUAAUUAUGGUGAUGAUUUUUUUUUACGGAUUCAUGGUUUAAUAUAUGGUGAGCUUGUAAUGGACCCACAACCUUCAGAUCUUCAGAUCCAAGUUCUAAGAGAUGUAACAAAACUUCUUGGAUGCAGACAUUAAGAAUCACUCAUGAUUUGUUUUUGUUCCCUGUUUCUUGAAAAGUUUGUUUCUUAUCCAUAUUAUGUACCAUAUCUUUCUUCAGUGAGUUUUCAUGUCCCUAGCUGCCUGGUGACCGCGUUUCCUGAAUUUUACGGCUUUUCCUUACUAUAUAGAGGCUAUGAUGAUUUGCUCUUAAGCUUUUUGGCUUUGAUGAUCGGAUGUGAUAGAUUUGGGGGUAUACAGACAAAAACCCAUACAUAAUUGGUCUUGUUAGAUGCUUAACUGAACCUAGAAGUUAUUCAGCGGCAAAUUUGUCUGAGAAAUCCAAUUGAAUCAAUUCUUUGAUUCCUAAGGCUAUAAAAAUGGCGUGGCAAACUUGGAUCCGCUGUUCAUUCUCCGGUCUCCAGUUUGCAGCCAAUCCUAUAUUUUGGGUGUAUGAGAACAUUUAGAACUAUGUGGGUUUUAAAGUAAAUGGGGGUAAAACUUUGGGUUUAUAACCUUCAGAUCUCUUUUUAUUUUUUUAAUGAAAAGAGAUGGGAGGGAGGGAGGGGAGGAUUUAUAUUGGCAUAUCUGAGCCUCCUAUUUAUUUAUAUCUUUACAAUGUGGUUUGGAUUACAAUUUCUUGAAGAGUGUGUUUUAUGUCCUUUCCUUUGCAGUUUUUUAUCCAUUAUUUUUGGGUUUAUAACUGUGUCUCUACAGGCUACCAAUAUUGCUGUCUCUCUUAUAUCACAAAUUUUCCCCCUUCAUGAAGAUAUUCUGAGUGUAAGUAGCAGUGUCUGUGGAAACUUUGUGGCGCCCACCAGACCUUUCUAAUUCAGGAUUCUUUGACUUGGGAAAUUGUUCUUUAUUCGCAGGACCAAGAGUACUUUAAGGAUUAAGACCAGCAGCAGUGAUCACCUUCUCUCCCUUCACUCUCUCAACUUCAGUUAUUUAGAUUUUCUUGUAAACACUUGUGGUACUCCAGACUAAGAUGUAAUUUCCUCUUUCCUACUUUGAAUAGUUGUGGACAUGGUUACAUAUAUGGCGAGGCAAGCUUGAGCUUCUUGGUUGUACUCAAGCAAUCUGCCCCCAGCUAUCACUAUCUGGGGUCUUACCAAAUAUGUACAUAUGGAAAAGCUUGCUUCUUUACCAAAAAGGUUGCGGAAAUGGGGGAGGCGAGCUUAAAAUUGCCUGCUGGUGUCCGUGCGUCUUCUUCCUCUCAAUUUUCAGGAAGCAGUUUUUGGAUAAAAUUUCAGAAAAUGAAAUGAACUUUGGCCAAUUUGCACAAGACCUCCAUGAAUGUGUAAUGAAAACUCUUCUAAACUUUGGUGGAAUUUCAACCGCUGAUCUUUUUGAUUGCUAGGGUUGCAGAAAUGGUGAGGCAAGCUUGAAGUUGCCUGCUUGUUUGCUGGCAACCAGUUUGCAGCCAUCCCUUUCUUCAUUGUAGGGGGAGAAGUCUAUCUGAGCCUCAUCCUCUAACAGGCGAGAAAGGCUACUGCUUUGCUCUCUUAGAUUGGAGAUAUCUGAAUGGGGUUACCUGCAAUUUAUCCUUAGUAUGGGGCUUGCAACUCCAUGAAAUCCAUGGACAAGAAGGGGAAAAAAUGGAAAUGAUGAUUUGCACCAAAAGCAUCAAUGGUUUGAUUGCUAUGGUUAUAAAAAUGUCGAGGCAAGCUUGGAUGGCUUGCUAGUAUGCAGGCAACCAACUCGCAGCAGCCAUUUGUUUUAUUACAGAGAGGGAGACAGAGGCCAACUUCCAAGUCCAUUGAAAAGAAGUUAAUAUGUUUGCUUGGCAGCAGUUGGAUUUGAACUCACGCCCUUUCAAACCAGAGCCUAGAUCUGUUGCCUUAGACCACUUGGUCAAAUUUUUGCAGUAAUGAUGUGCAAUGCUGAUAUCCUUAAAAUGAUAAGAUCAUUGAGGGUUCAGUUCCUUUUAUUAUAAUGCUUGAAAGCUUUGGGAUCUUGAUGAUGGUUAAGGUUAUAAAUGGCUUGGCAAGCUUUGUUUACUUGCAGCCAUUAUUUGUUAGAGAAAAGAGAGAGAUUAUUCAUCACAACAAUGUGCUGAAAUCUAGCAUAUCUGGAUCUCAUCACAUAACCAUGCAAGUUAGGCUUGCAACAGAGCGAGUUCUUUCUGGGUAUUACAAAUUCCAGUCGUACACCUGUUCAUAAUUAUUUAUGAUCCAUUCUUGCAACAAUAUUUGUUGCAGAA